AUUUGGAACGGAGGGAGUAUU
rnacentral:miRNA from 1 species